rnacentral:lncRNA from 1 species
UUUAGGAAUAAAAUAGCUGGGCCAUGAAUCAAUCGUGAUUCAUGUCAUGAUUUAAACAAGGUAAAGCAAGUCUGAACUCAAAGGCUCCUCAUUCUCUAAAGGCUGAAUAUUCUAUCCUAACUUCCGCCUUCUGACUCUUUCUCCAUUAGACACAGGAGUCUGCAGAACCCCAUUGCAGCACGAGGCCGUCAAGUAAAGGUGGACGUUUGCUCCCCAAAGAAGGAAAUAGCCAUCAUUUUUCUUGAGAAACUACAACUGCAGGGAGAAAAAUGAAAGAUACAUUAGCCAGCCCUUCGUUUUUCCCUUAGUUGUUUAAAACUGGUUUGGAGUGUUUAGAGCAGCAUAGCUCACAUGUGGUCUUUCCUCCCCGGUGGUGGAGAUCCCAGGCUCUGACCUCAGCUGGAUGUCGGGGAGAAAAAGUCAGGCAGAGAGAGUGGGCAGAACUUCCUGGAGUUGAAGAGCACUGGGAGCCUGAGGUCAGGGACCCGAUGGAGGAGUCCUGGAAGCAAGGACGGAGAGCAAGCUUCUCGAUUGACAGCACAGAGACGGGGCUCAGAGCACAGGCUGGAGCCUGUCUAAUUGCGAAUCCUGACUCCAGACCUUACUGGCUGUAUGACCUGUAUCAAGACUACUUCCACUUUCUCUGCCUCCAUCUCAUGAUUUUCACGGUGGAGACCUUCACAGCGCUUCCCUCCAAGGGCUGUUGUCGGAUGUAGUGAAUAAAUGCAUGGAAAGCGCCUCA